UACGUAGGGUGCAAGCGUUGUCCGGAAUUAUUGGGCGUAAAGAGCUCGUAGGCGGUUUGUCACGUCGGAUGUGAAAAUCCGGGGCUUAACCCCGGACCUGCAUUCGAUACGGGCUGACUAGAGUUCGGCAGGGGAGACUGGAAUUCCUGGUGUAGCGGUGAAAUGCGCAGAUAUCAGGAGGAACACCGGUGGCGAAGGCGGGCCUCUGGGCCGAUACUGACGCUGAGGAGCGAAAGCGUGGGGAGCGAACAGG
rnacentral:rRNA from 1 species